CUUGCCCUUUAGAAGGGAGUGUAACGCAUGCGCAAAGGGAGCGCUCUACGCAGCAGCUGGGGCUGAUGACUGUCCUGUCAGGACCCUGAGGAGGCCAGUAUUCAUUGUUCCUGCCUGACCUCCAGAGAAAUAGCAGAUGCCAUUGUAAGGAUUCUGUCCCUAAUUAAGUCACCAGCCUGCGACGGCAUCCCAGCCUAAAAAAGCAGCAUGGCUGCUGCGGGCGGCGGCCAGCCACGAGCAGCGCCGCAGCAUAACCAACAUUUGGUGCCGUGACUCAGAUAGACCACCAAGGACCUGCAGACUGCUGCCACUUGCCACCCCCUCCCCCAUCCAGCAAGACCGAAAGCCCGCGAGUGCGCACACGCAUCCCUCACCUCCGCUGGACCCCUAUACAGCUACCACUACUGAUACCGCCAUGAUUCUUCACCCCAUUUUUUUCUGUAUCACCAGCAUCUUGUCAAACAAAAAGUUUCCAGCCACAGCCAAGAGGGAUACAUGUCUCCAGAGCAAAUGAAUGACAGACAGCAUCCCACAACGCCUGUCUACCUCAGAAGACUCCCCUUCUCCAUUCCCCCAAGAGCCAACAGAUGUCCAAAAGUCAGCUGGAAGUAGUUUUUGAGAGGAAUGACGCCCCUAUUCCCAUCUACCUGCUUUUUAAUUAUUAUUAGCGAAAAUCUGGGAAGUAAGGAUUCUGUCCUUAAUUAAGUCACCAGCCUGCGACAGCGUCCCAGCCUAAAAAAGCAGCACUCUCCUCCGCCAGCAUGGCUGCCACGGGUGGCGGCCAGCCACGAGCAGCGCCAAUUUAACCAACAGCCAUGGCUUCUAUACUCCUGAUUUGGCAUGCCAUUUCCCUGCAAGUUCCUGGAACACCACUGCUGCAACCUGCCUCAGCUCCCUCAAGGAAUGUUCCUGAAAUCUUCCACUGUGUGUGACUCCCAGUUCCCCCUCCCCACUUCACCCCUUGUCAGCUUGAAGUAGCCUCGAGAAUUCAGCACCCUUGUUCCCCCACUUGCUCCCAUAACUCACCUCUUUUCAUAAUAAUCAAAAUGGAGGAAUGUUAAUAUUCUGAUCUGCCCCUUGGGGCCACUCUGCAUCCUGAUGUAGAAGCCUCUUCUUAAGGAAAAACUCUGCCCCUUUCUCUCUUUCUCCACUCUCACGAGGUGUGCACCCCUUGACCUCUCUUUCUCUCUUCUCUCCCUCUUUCCUAUCUUCUCUCUGUCUCUCUAUUAUAAUAAACCAUUUCCUCGAAGA